UACGUAGGGUGCAAGCGUUAAUCGGAAUUACUGGGCGUAAAGCGUGCGCAGGCGGUUUUGUAAGUCUGUCGUGAAAUCCCCGGGCUUAACCUGGGAACUGCAUUUGUGACUGGCAAGCUAGAGUAUGGCAGAGGGGGGUAGAAUUCCACGUGUAGCAGUGAAAUGCGUAGAGAUGUGGAGGAAUACCGAUGGCGAAGGCAGCCCCCUGGGCCAAUACUGACGCUCAUGCACGAAAGCGUGGGGAGCAAACAGG
rnacentral:rRNA from 1 species